GGCAAAGGACAUGAACAGGCAAUUUCUGGAAAAGAAAACCCAAAAUAUCAGUAUUUGAAGUUUUGCUCACAUAUAUUAGUAAUUUUAAAAAAUGAAUUAAAACAAAUGAGUUGUCACAUCACCCAUUUUAUACUGGUGGUAAUUAGAAAGCUGGAAAGUGCCAAGUUUUUGCUCCAUAGCCCAUGUCCUCUUCACCACAUCACUAUGUUUGUGUGGUGAGUGGGUAGGUUGCAUUUACCUUUGUGGAGGUAACUAGCACCUUGACAUAUGCAUAUUAUGUUUUUGGCAAAUACCUGCUGAAAAAGAGGGCAUUUUUACAGCUGUGAAGUCAUUUGUUUCCAUUCCAUCAUGGUCUAUAGAAAACAGAAAAUCACUGACACCAUCUCCCCGCUCUCUUUCUCCAACAGCACAGCUUUCAGUAGCAGAAAGUGCUCAUUAGAAUGGAAACCCAAACUUUGCCUUAGUCCCUCCCAGAGCCUCAGCCAGUCCUGUUAUGUUCUGUUCUGUUCAGGGUUGAAAAGAUUUAUAGCAUCCUUUAGCUGCUGACGAUGUUUCCCUAUUGAUCCUGCUUCCGGAGCUCUGCUCAGGGGACAGGGAGUGACCAAAAUGCUAAAUUUUUAUCAGGUUCACUGCAAAAUCAGCCAGACAGCCCAGGCCUCCUUUGGGACCCAGAGCUAAAGGUGGAGAGCCACUGAGUCACUCACUUCCUCCUGAUCCACAGUGGGCAAAUUUUCCCCCUCUCUUUAGUCAGUGCCUCAAGAGCCAGUUUCCAAAUUUAAUCCAAGGUCUUUGCCUGAAGAUUUUCCUCUUUCCUCCCUCCUAAGACACUCACUCCACCACAGCCACACUACACCAUUCACAGACCACCACUAUAGCCCAUUUAACACUACUGACCUGGAUUCACCAAAAACGUGUUCAUCUUCACUAUCAGUCUUUAAACUUUUUGAGGGUAGGGACUGUAUAGCUCUAGCACCUAGAACAGUGUCUGAUGUUGAAAAUGUUGGAUGAAAGAAGAACAUACUGGUCAGUUUUCACAGCAGGAACUAAGAAUAUGAGAAGACACUGUUACCAUGGAUAAAUUAUAAAUGCCAAACUUCAGUUCUAAGAUUCUGCAGGCAGCAACAUCCUUCAUUUUAUGUCUAGAUAUAAGAACCCUUAUUCAUGGACAAAAACUGUGUCAGGGAUGGCCAAGUAGGUAUACAUAGAUCACCCCUUCCUAUGAUCACAUCUAUGACAGACAUCAUUAAUUGCUCAAGGUGUCCUAUUUCCAUGAGUGUCCAGGCAGCCAUUACUAAUCAUGAGAGAUCAAACCUGUGUGCCCUCCUCCAACUAGGAGCAACGCACCUUGGUUUUCACGGUCUAAUUGAAAAGAAAACGAUUUCACAUUUAAAAAAUGAAAUAACAUGAAGUAACAGUAAAAUCCCUCAUCAUAGUUUAUUUAUUCAUGUAACAUUUAAUUAAUUAAUUAAUUAAUUAAAUGUUACAUGAAUAAAUAAA
rnacentral:lncRNA from 1 species